rnacentral:misc_RNA from 1 species
UUAAGUUCAGCGGGUUUUCCUACCUGAUUUGAGACCAAGUGUUCAGGGAAAGUCGACUGGUGUCAACCUUCUCUGGGUAAUGGUUGAGUUACAGACUCCGGUACAACCGACAGUUCGUGAGAACAAACGUACGUGUGAGUUGCCCCAUUCAUGCGUAUGCCCGAGAACUGGUGGUUCAAGGAAGCGUAACAUUUGAUUUC